CCUACGGGUGGCAGCAGUGGGGAAUAUUGGGCAAUGGGCGCAAGCCUGACCCAGCAACGCCGCGUGAAGGAAGAAGGCUUUCGGGUUGUAAACUUCUUUUGUCAGGGAAGAGUAGAAGACGGUACCUGACGAAUAAGCCACGGCUAACUACGUGCCAGCAGCCGCGGUAAUACGUAGGUGGCAAGCGUUGUCCGGAUUGACUGGGUGUAAAGGGCGGGUAGCCGGGUUGACAAGUAAGAUGUGAAAUCCUGCGGCUUAACCGCAGAACUGCAUUUGAAACUGUUGAUCUUGAGUACUGGAGAGGCAGACGGAAUUCCUAGUGUAGCGGUGAAAUGCGUAGAUAUUAGGAGGAACACCAGUGGCGGAGGCGGUCUGCUGGACAGCAACUGACGGUGAGGCGCGAAAGCGUGGGGAGCAAACAGGAUUAGAUACCCCAGUAGUC
rnacentral:rRNA from 1 species